rnacentral:rRNA from 1 species
CGGACGGGGGAGUAAUGUCUGGGAAACUGCCCGAUGGAGGGGGGUAACUACUGGAAACGGUAGCUAAUACCGCAUAACGUCGCAAGACCAAAGAGGGGACCUCGGGCCUCUUGCCAUCGGAUGUGCCCAGAUGGGAUUAGCUAGUAGGUGGGGUAACGGCUCACCUAGGCGACGAUCCCUAGCUGGUCUGAGAGGAUGACCAGCCACACUGGAACUGAGACACGGUCCAG